rnacentral:rRNA from 1 species
AAUAGAUACCCGGGUAGUCCACGCCGUAAACGAUGAGUGCUAAGUGUUAGAGGGUUUCCGCCCUUUAGUGCUAAAGUUAACGCAUUAAGCACUCCGCCUGGGGAGUACGGCCGCAAGGCUGAAACUCAAAGGAAUUGACGGGGGCCCGCACAAGCGGUGGAGCAUGUGGUUUAAUUCGAAGCAACGCGAAGAACCUUACCAGGUCUUGACAUCCUCUGACAACCCUAGAGAUAGGGCUUCUCCUUCGGGAGCAGAGUGACAGGUGGUGCAUGGUUGUCGUCAACUCGUGUCGUGAGAUGUUGGGUUAAGUCCCGCAACGAGCGCAACCCUUGAUCUUAGUUGCCAUCAUUAAGUUGGGCACUCUAAGGUGACUGCCGGUGACAAACCGGAGGAAGGUGGGGAUGACGUCGAAUCAUCAUGCCCCUUAUGACCUGGGCUACACACGUGCUACAAUGGACGGUACAAAGAGCUGCAAGACCGCGAGGUGGAGUUAAUCUCAUAAAACCGUUCUCAGUUCGGAUUGUAGGCUGCAACUCGCCUA